GCUGGAGCGGCUUCCGGCAGCGCUAGGGUGGUGUGGCUGGCCUCCCUGACGUGAAGGCUUGUGAGAGUAAAUAUCAAGCUCCAUGAAUGUGCUAUCAUGGGUCUCCAACGUGUUUCUGAGGAUUUAUUGAUUUGAGG